rnacentral:rRNA from 1 species
GCGGUGGAGCAUGUGUUAAUCGAAGCAACGCGAAGAACCUUACCAGGUCUUGACAUCCCGAUGCUAUUUCUAGAGAUAGAAAGUUACUUCGGUACAUCGGUGACAGGUGGUGCAUGGUUGUCGUCAGCUCGUGUCGUGAGAUGUUGGGUUAAGUCCCGCAACGAGCGCAACCCCUAUUGUUAGUUGCCAUCAUUCAGUUGGGCACUCUAGCGAGACUGCCGGUAAUAAACCGGAGGAAGGUGGGGAUGACGUCAAAUCAUCAUGCCCCUUAUGACCUGGGCUACACACGUGCUACAAUGGUUGGUACAACGAGUUGCGAGUCGGUGACGGCGAGCUAAUCUCUUAAAGCCAAUCUCAGUUCGGAUUGUAGGCUGCAACUCGCCUACAUGAAGUCGGAAUCGCUAGUAAUCGCGGAUCAGCACGCCGCGGUGAAUACGUUCCCGGGCCUU